AACGAACGCUGGCGGCAGGCUUAACACAUGCAAGUCGAACGCCCCGCAAGGGGAGUGGCGCACGGGUGAGUAACGCGUGGGAAUAUGCCCUUCGGUUCGGAAUAACACAGGGAAACUUGUGCUAAUACCGGAUACGAUCUACGGAUGAAAGAUUUAUCGCCGAGGGAGUAGCCCGCGUAGGAUUAGCUAGUUGGUGAGGUAAUGGCUCACCAAGGCGACGAUCCUUAGCUGGUCUGAGAGGAUGAUCAGCCACACUGGGACUGAGACACGGCCCAGACUCCUACGGGAGGCAGCAGUGGGGAAUAUUGGACAAUGGGCGAAAGCCUGAUCCAGUCAUGCCGCGUGAGUGAUGAAGGCCUUAGGGUUGUAAAGCACUUUAAGCGGGGAGGAAGGCUCUAUGGCUAAUAUCCAUGGGGAUUGACGUUACCCGCAGAAUAAGCACCGGCAAACUUCGUGCCAGCAGCCGCGGUAAU
rnacentral:rRNA from 1 species